GAUGAACGCUGGCGGCGUGCCUAAUUCAUGCAAGUCGAGCGAACAGACGAGGAGCUUGCUCCUCUGACGUUAGCGGCGGACGGGUGAGUAACACGUGGAUAACCUACCUAUAAGACUGGGAUAACUUCGGGAAACCGGAGCUAAUACCGGAUAAUAUAUUGAACCGCAUGGUUCAAUAGUGAAAGACGGUUUUGCUGUCACUUAUCGAUGGAUCCGCGCCGCAUUAGCUAGUUGGUAAGGUAACGGCUUACCAAGGCAACGAUGCGUAGCCGACCUGAGAGGGGGAUCGGCCACACUGGAACUGGGCCACGGUCCAGACUCCUACGGUAGGCAGCAGUAGGGAAUCUGCCGCAAUGGGCGAAAGCCUGACGGAGCAACGCCGCGUGAGUGAUGAAGGUCUUCGGAUCGUAAAACUCUGUUAUGAGGGAAGAACAAAUGUGUAAGUAACUAUGCACGUCUUGACGGUACCUAAUCAGAAAGCCACGGCUAACUACGUG
rnacentral:rRNA from 1 species